AGAGUUUGAUCAUGGCUCAGAACGAACGCUGGCGGCAGGCUUAACACAUGCAAGUCGAACGCACUCUUCGGAGUGAGUGGCAGACGGGUGAGUAACGCGUGGGAACCUACCCUUUGGUUCGGAAUAACUCAGGGAAACUUGAGCUAAUACCGGAUACGCCCUUCGGGGGAAAGAUUUAUCGCCAUAGGAUGGGCCCGCGUCGGAUUAGCUAGUUGGUGGGGUAAUGGCCUACCAAGGCAACGAUCCGUAGCUGGUCUGAGAGGAUGAUCAGCCACACUGGGACUGAGACACGGCCCAGACUCCUACGGGAGGCAGCAGUGGGGAAUAUUGGACAAUGGGCGAAAGCCUGAUCCAGCCAUGCCGCGUGAGUGAAGAAGGCCUUAGGGUUGUAAAGCUCUUUCAGCGGGGAAGAUAAUGACGGUACCCGCAGAAGAAGCCCCGGCUAACUUCGUGCCAGCAGCCGCGGUAAUACGAAGGGGGCUAGCGUUGUUCGGAAUUACUGGGCGUAAAGCGCGCGUAGGCGGAUAAGUAAGUCAGGGGUGAAAUGCCGAGGCUCAACCUCGGAACUGCCUUUGAUACUGCUAAUCUGGAGUACGGGAGAGGUGAGUGGAAUUCCGAGUGUAGAGGUGAAAUUCGUAGAUAUUCGGAGGAACACCAGAAGCGAAGGCGGCUCACUGGCCCGAUACUGACGCUGAGGCGCGAAAGCGUGGGGAGCAAACAGGAUUAGAUACCCUAGUAGUCC
rnacentral:rRNA from 1 species